AACUGAAGAGUUUGAUCAUGGCUCAGAUUGAACGCUGGCGGCAGGCUUAACACAUGCAAGUCGAGCGGGGGAAGGUAGCUUGC
rnacentral:rRNA from 1 species